AACAAAGACCAAGACAGACAGACCAAAGAAAAAAAAAACAAAACUCUGUUUUUUUUUCUUUCCCUGUUUCUCCCCUGUUUUCUUCUUCCCUAUAACUCUGUUUUUGUCCUGUCUCUCUUUUUCUCUUUGUUUCUCUCUUAUUUCCCAGAUUAAAUGCUUACCCUUUUGGUCUAAUGAGGGGAUGAUUUUCCAUUUUUGACCCAGACCUCUUUUUGUGAUCUGGGUCAAUCCUGGUUUCGAGCUAAAUGGGUUGCAUUACCUCCAAACAUGGUGGCUCUGUUGUGGCAGCCUCCCCUGUUUCAGUGGUUCACAACAAUAGCCACGGCUUGAUAUUUGCUUCUUCAUCAUCAUCAAAACAACAAUCUGGGAGGUUAGAGAGUAAUAGAGAUGAUGAGAAAUUGGAUGAUAAUGGUAAAACUAUUAACCAUCAUCAUCGAAAGAGUAGCCGCGAGUUGAGGAAAUCAAAGAGGGGGAGUUCCAGUAGGAAGAGCGGCUCUUUUAGCCUGAAAUUGGGCUUUUCACAUAGGUUUGUGGAGGCUGAACAGGUCGCAGCCGGGUGGCCUGCUUGGCUUAGCUCAGCUGCUGGUGAAGCUGUACAUGGUUGGGUGCCUUUGCAGGCUGAGGCUUUUGAGAAACUAGACAAGAUUGGACAAGGUACAUAUAGUAGCGUAUUCCAAGCACGCGAAGUUGAAACUGGGAGGAUGGUUGCCUUGAAGAAGGUGCGGUUCGACAACUUUCAACCAGAAAGCAUUAGGUUCAUGGCACGAGAAAUAACAAUUCUACGCAGGCUUGACCAUCCAAAUAUCAUGAAGUUGGAGGGGGUAAUCACAUCUCGGUUUUCAAGUACUGUAUACCUUGUAUUUGAGUACAUGGAGCAUGAUCUUGCCGGACUAUCUUCUUGUCCUGAUAUCAAGUUCAGUGAGGCACAGGUGAAGUGCUAUAUGAAGCAGCUACUAUCAGGACUUGAGCAUUGCCAUUUGCGAGGUAUAAUGCAUCGAGACAUUAAAGCAUCCAACAUUUUGGUAAACAAUCAAGGAGUUCUGAAAUUGGGGGAUUUCGGAUUGGCGAACAUCCUUACUUCGAGGAACAGGCAACAAUUGACUAGUAGAGUAGUCACUUUAUGGUAUCGCCCUCCUGAGCUUUUGAUGGGAUCAACAAGUUACGAAGUCUCAGUGGAUCUGUGGAGUGUAGGCUGUGUUUUUGCAGAGCUUCUUAUGGGAAAGCCUAUCCUUAAAGGGAGAACUGAGGUUGAACAACUGCAUAAAAUCUUUAAGCUUUGUGGUUCCCCUCCUGAUGAUUAUUGGAAAAAGACUCGGCUCCCUCAUUCAACCAUGUUUAAACCUCAGCAUCCUUACGAAAGUUGUCUUCGCGAAAGGUGUAAAGAUAUUCCUGCUACCGCAAUGAACUUGUUAGAAGCUCUUCUUUCCGUAGAACCCCACAAGCGUGGGACUGCCUCUUCAUCGCUAAUGUCAGAGUAUUUCCACACAAAGCCCUACGCCUGUGAUCCGUCAAGCUUGCCAAAGUAUUCACCUAAUAAAGAAAUUGAUGCUAAACGGCGUGAUGAAUUACGAAGGAAGAAGGCUGGAUCUAGAACCCGAGAUUCUGGAGUAUCUAAGAAAACAAGAAGAUCUCGUAAAGCUUUGCAGGAACCCAACAAUUUCAGUAAAACAGCGCCAAAAGAGGAACUGCGAGACGAUACUCAAUUCGCUAGCAAGAACCAUGGUUUGACUGCAAACAAUCUCAAGGGGAGAGAAGGGGCUGCUCAUAAAGGGCAGCUGAAUUCAUCCUUCUUCGAUACAAGGUCAGAGACUUCUCAAGUAACAACUGUAUCCCAGGGUGACAUUUUCACAGCUCCACCACCAGUCACGGGAUCAAGCAGCUUUUCCUGGGCGAAGAAGCGAAAAGAUUCUACAUCUACACUGUCAUACAACCAGCCUUCUUCAAUUAGUCAACUUAGUGAUGCAGAUUCAUCCAGCUUCACCUUCUCAAAUAGUGCUUUUAACCUAACAAAAGACGGGACUCAAGAUGUUCCUCAAGGUGUUUAUGAUGAUUGGAGGCAGCAGAAGCAGCAGCAAAACGGAUUGAAUAGCCAUGGAUUCUUUUAUAUAAAUGAUCAGCAGGUGCAAAGCAAGUUUGAUAGGUCAGAUGUUUUUGAUGCAAGUGAUGUACCCCAAUCUCAUGAUUACUCAAUGGCGUUUCAUCAAGAAACUGCUAUAAACAAUGACAUGGUAAGAUCACAGGCAGCAUCUGUGAUUAUCAUAAGUGACUUUUUGCUUUUAGUUUCGAAUCACUUUCUGCGUUUAACUCAUGAACCUUUUCUUCAUCUCGGCUAUCCAACCAUGUCCCCAUCAGGUGAAAAUUGAUUAUUCAGGACCAUUAGUAACAGGACCAUAUAAAGUCGAUGAACUCCUGCAAAGGAAUGAAAACCAUAUCCGGCAAGUGGCUCGAAGAUCAAGGUUUCACAGAGAGAAAUGAUGCAAGGCUCGUUUCCAUGGGGGGAAAAUCCUGAAAUAGAAAACAGGCAAUCAAUUGUACAGGCUUACAAGCAAGCCAGCAAACCUUGAAAACAAUUCACGUGAGCUCAAACAACACAGUUUAGGUGCCUACCUCUGCCUUUUAGCCCGCAUUAUGUGCUGCUGAAAUCAAUUGUAUCAAACCAAAGAUUGCAGAAUGUAUACGGAAAAUAUAGAGCAAUGAUUUCACAUACUUUUGAGUAGGUGAAGAAAUUUACAAUGGGAAAUCUCAACCUCGGCAUCGUAAUUUGUGAGGUCUAAUGCAAUUUUUCAUUGGAAAGGAAGAGAGAAAUCUUCAUCAUGCUACUUGUAAUGCUUCCCUUUUUUUGGUUUCAAUCAUUUUUAGUACCAAAGCCCUAACAAUUCAACCAAAUAAAGGCAAUGAAGAACAAAUCACAUUGAUAAAAAAAAAAGGAAAAAGGAAAAACCAUUAAAAUUAUCGAAAAGCUCCUCAAAAACAAGAUCAAAGAGAGUUUUUUCAAAACAAAAA